GCUCACAUAGGCUGGACAUAUACAAAAAUUGGAAUGAUAAUGAGAAAAGUAUAAUAGCCUCUGUGCAAGGAGGAAACACAAAUUAGUGAAGUGUUUUAUAUUUUU